rnacentral:rRNA from 1 species
CACCUAUGGAAGGCAGCAGUAGGGAAUAUUGCUCAAUGGGGAAACCCUGAAGCAGCAACGCCGCGUGAGUGAUGAAGGCUUUCGGGUCGUAAAGCUCUGUUGUACAAGACGAAUGCGUCUAUGGCUAAUAUCCAUAGGCAGUGACAGUACUGUAUAAGAAAGGACCGGCUAACUUCGCGCCAGCCGCCGCGGUAAUAC